rnacentral:rRNA from 1 species
AUUGAACGCUGGCGGCAGGCCUAACACAUGCAAGUCGAGCGGUAGAGAGAAGCUUGCUUCCCUUGAGAGCGGCGGACGGGUGAGUAAUGCCUAGGAAUCUGCCUGGUAGUGGGGGAUAACGUUCGGAAACGGACGCUAAUACCGCAUACGUCCUACGGGAGAAAGCAGGGGACCUUCGGGCCUUGCGCUAUCAGAUGAGCCUAGGUCGGAUUAGCUAGUUGGUGGGGUAAUGGCUCACCAAGGCGACGAUCCGUAACUGGUCUGAGAGGAUGAUCAGUCACACUGGAACUGAGACACGGUCCAGACUCCUACGGGAGGCAGCAGUGGGGAAUAUUGGACAAUGGGCGAAAGCCUGAUCCAGCCAUGCCGCGUGUGUGAAGAAGGUCUUCGGAUUGUAAAGCACUUUAAGUUGGGAGGAAGGGCAGUAAAUUAAUACUUUGCUGUUUUGACGUUACCGACAGAAUAAGCACCGGCUAACUCUGUG